CCCUUAGAUGUUCUGGGCCGCACGCGUGCUACACUGAGUAAUUCAAUGGGUAAGGGAACGCUAGAGCAUUACCUAAUCUUGAAAUUUGCUCGUGAUGGGGAUCGACGGUUGCAAUUUUCCGUCGUGAACGAGGAAUACCUUGUAGGCGCAUGUCAUCAUCAUGCGCCGAAUACGUCCCUGCCCUUUGUACACACCGCCCGUCGCUCCUACCGAUUGAGUGAUCCGGUGAGGCUCUGGGACAUGGACGGAAAGAGCGUUUCGCUUGUUCUGUUUGGGAAACUUGGUCGAACCUUAUCAUUUAGAGGAAGGAGAAGUCGUAACA
rnacentral:rRNA from 1 species